GAAUAUUGGUCAAUGGGCGCAAGCCUGAACCAGCCAUGCCGCGUGCAGGAUGACGGUCCUAUGGAUUGUAAACUGCUUUUGUACGGGAAGAAACACUCCUACGUGUAGGAGCUUGACGGUACCGUAAGAAUAAGGAUCGGCUAACUCCGUGCCAGCAGCCGCGGUAAUACGGAGGAUCCAAGCGUUAUCCGGAAUCAUUGGGUUUAAAGGGUCCGUAGGCGGUUUUGUAAGUCAGUGGUGAAAGCCCAUCGCUCAACGGUGGAACGGCCAUUGAUACUGCAAGACUUGAAUUACUAGGAAGUAACUAGAAUAUGUAGUGUAGCGGUGAAAUGCUUAGAUAUUACAUGGAAUACCAAUUGCGAAGGCAGGUUACUACUAGUGGAUUGACGCUGAUGGACGAAAGCGUGGGGAGCGAACAGG
rnacentral:rRNA from 1 species